UACAGAGGUCCCAAGCGUUGUUCGGAUUCAUUGGGCGUAAAGGGUGCGUAGGCGGCGCGGUAAGUCGGGUGUGAAAUUUCGAGGCUUAACUUCGAAACUGCAUUCGAUACUGCCGUGCUUGAGGACUGGAGAGGAGACUGGAAUUUACGGUGUAGCGGUGAAAUGCGUAGAUAUCGUAAGGAAGACCAGUGGCGAAGGCGGGUCUCUGGAUAGUUCCUGACGCUGAGGCACGAAGGCCAGGGGAGCAAACGGG
rnacentral:rRNA from 1 species